rnacentral:rRNA from 1 species
GAUGAACGCUGGCGGCGUGCUUAACACAUGCAAGUCGAACGAAGCACCAUGGAAAGAUUCUUCGGAAGAUUGAAAUGGUGACUGAGUGGCGGACGGGUGAGUAACGCGUGGGUAACCUGCCUCAUACAGGGGGAUAACAGUUAGAAAUGACUGCUAAUACCGCAUAAGCGCACAGUAUCGCAUGAUACAGUGUGAAAAACUCCGGUGGUAUGAGAUGGACCCGCGUCUGAUUAGCUAGUUGGUGGGUAACGGCCUACCGAGGCGACGAUCAGUAGCCGACCUGACGAGGGUGACCGGCCACGAUUGGGACUGAGACACGGCCCAAACUCCUACGGGAGGCAGCAGUGGGGAAUAUUGCACAAUGGCGAAAGCCUGAUGCAGC